CCUACGGGGGGCAGCAGUGGGGAAUAUUGCACAAUGGGGGAAACCCUGAUGCAGCGACGCCGCGUGAGUGAAGAAGUAUCUCGGUACGUAAAGCUCUAUCAGCAGGGAAGAUAAUGACGGUACCUGACCAAGAAGCCCCGGCUAACUACGUGCCAGCAGCCGCGGUAAUACGUAGGGGGCAAGCGUUAUCCGGAUUUACUUGGUGUAAAGGGAGCGUAGACGGCAGCGCAAGUCUGGAGUGAAAUGCCGGGGCCCAACCCCGGAACUGCUCUGGAAACUGUGAAGCUGGAGUGCAGGAGAGGUAAGCGGAAUUCCUGGUGUAGCGGUGAAAGGCGUAGAUAUCAGGAGGAACACCGGCGGCGAAGGCGGCUUACUGGACUGUAACUGACGUUGAGGCUCGAAGGCGUGGGGAGCAAACAGGAUUAGAUACCCUUGUA
rnacentral:rRNA from 1 species